GGCUCUCCUACGACUGCCGCGCCAGACGCGAUCACGUUGUUCCGCUUGCACGCCUCUUCCACCCUUCCUUUUUGCGCCCGAUACGCGCCUCUCCCCACGUUCACCACGCUGGAAUUGGUCCACGCGGCGGGAAUAAACCGCGAUCAUAGGAAAAUCGCCGCGCUUUCCACCUCCUCAUUGUUGAUAAGUGAUUAGGAAAAUACUCCUACACCGAGGCGGAUUUUCUGGUUUCAGUGUUCCCGAUGAUUUGGAAGUGGAACCUUCUAUGUUGUUGCGAGUGAUAUAUUAGGAGAGAUCAUUAGUUUGGAAUGUUGUAACGAAGGAAGCAGAAAAUAUCGCGUAGCUUAGAUCCGACAACAGAAGAUAUAAGAAACGCGGAAAUGAUUCGCGUAAUUCUAUAUUAGGAUUAUUUGAGUCAGGGAAGAGGUAUGAUAUAAACAAGAAAAUAACUUGCAGGAAUAAAGUAAUAUCGAAGUUUCCUCGAAGAAAAGUCGUAGGAUAUUGUAUUACGUCUAGAGGAUUCAGCUGGUGCGUUUUAUUUUUGGAAGGACAUAAGUUUUGAAGAAAAGUUUAAGAAUUAGAAUGACGUAUCGUUUUGUUUCUACUUCGCUGACACUUGGCAGGUAGUCUACGGAAUUCGUAUUUUUACGUGACAGCCACGAUAUGUGUUAAUAAUAUUCGAGGUUCUCGAGUGUAAACUGUGUUCUUUUUCACCAUGUUUCGUCAACAUUGUGAUUAGAUUUCCUCCAAGCAUGUGAACGCGCCGUUACCAAACUAGAUCUUCUAUUUACAAUUGUAGUUAUUCUGAUCGCUAACGAAGCUAAUUCGUGUUAAUGAAAUGUUAAAAACUGCUUUCGUAAAGAAACCAGGACACAUUUGCCAAUUUCAGUAUCGUCAAAUAUUAGAAUUUAACAUUUGUUCUAAUUUUUUUUUUUUUAUAAAUUAUCUAAGCCAUCCA